rnacentral:rRNA from 1 species
UACGAAGGUGGCAAGCGUUGUCCGGAUUUACUGGGCGUAAAGAGCGCGCAGGCAGUCGUUCAAGUCGCGUGUGAAAGCCCCCGGCUCAACUGGGGAGGGUCACGCGAUACUGAUCGACUCGAAGGCAGGAGAGGGUAGUGGAAUUCCCGGUGUAGUGGUGAAAUGCGUAGAUAUCGGGAGGAACACCAGUGGCGAAGGCGACUACCUGGCCUGUUUCUUGACGCUGAGGCGCGAAAGCUAGGGGAGCAAACGGG